UACGUAGGGUGCGAGCGUUGCCCGGAUUUAUUGGGCGUAAAGGGCGCGUAGGCGGCUCGGCACGUCCGUUGUGAAAUCGCCCGGCUCAACUGGGCGGGGUCAGCGGAUACGGUCGAGCUUGAGCAAGCUAGGGGGUAAUGGAAUUCCCGGUGUAGUGGUGGAAUGCGUAGAUAUCGGGAGGAACACCCAGUGGCGAAGGCGGUUACCCUGGGGGCUUUUGGCUGACGCUGAUGCGCGAAAAGCGUGGGGGGAAGCGAGUCCGGG
rnacentral:rRNA from 1 species